CAGCCGCCGCGGUAAUACGAAGGGGGCUAGCGUUGCUCGGAAUUACUGGGCGUAAAGGGAGCGUAGGCGGACAUUUAAGUCAGGGGUGAAAUCCCAGAGCUCAACUCUGGAACUGCCUUUGAUACUGGGUGUCUUGAGUGUGAUAGAGGUAUGUGGAACUCCGAGUGUAGAGGUGAAAUUCGUAGAUAUUCGGAAGAACACCAGUGGCGAAGGCGACAUACUGGAUCAUUACUGACGCUGAGGCUCGAAAGCGUGGGGAGCAAACAGGAUUAGAUACCCCAGUAGUCCCUGUCUCUUAUAC
rnacentral:rRNA from 1 species